GAUGAACGCUGGCGGCGUGCCUAAUACAUGCAAGUCGAGCGAACAGACGAGGAGCUUUCUCCUCUGACGUUAUCGGCGGACGGGUGAUUAACACGUGGAUAACCUACCUAUAAGACUGGGAUAACUUCGGGAAACCGGAGCUAAUACCCGAUAAUAUAUUGAACCGCAUUGUGCAAUAGUUAAAGUCGGUUUUUCUGUCACUUAUAGAUUGAUCCGCGCCGCAUUAGCUAGUUGGUAAGGUAACGGCUUACCAAGGCGAGGAUGCGUAGACGACCUGAGAGGGUGAACGGCCACACUGGAAGUGAGACUCGGUCGAGACUCCUACGGGAGGCAGCAGUGGGGAAUCUUCCGCAAUGGGCGAAAGCCUGACGGAGCAACGUCGCGUGAGUGAUGAAGGUCUUCGGAUCGGAAAACUAUGUUAUUAGGAAAGAACAAAAGUGUAAGUAACUAUGCACGUCUUGACGGUACCUAGUCAGAAAGCUACGGCUAACUACGUG
rnacentral:rRNA from 1 species